rnacentral:tRNA from 1 species
GGAUUGUGGGUCAGUGGUAGAGCGCUUGCCUAGCAUGUGUGAGGUCCUGGGUUAGAUCCUCAGCACCA